rnacentral:rRNA from 1 species
AAACCAGCACCUCAAGUGGUCAGGAUGAUUAUUGGGCCUAAAGCAUCCGUAGCCUGUUCUGUAAGUUUUCGGUUAAAUCUGUACGCUCAACGUACAGGCUGCCGGGAAUACUGCAGAGCUAGGGAGUGGGAGAGGUAGACGGUACUCGGGAGGAAGGGGUAAAAUCCUUUGAUCUAUUGAUGACCACCUGUGGCGAAGGCGGUCUACCAGAACACGUUCGACGGUGAGGGAUGAAAGCUGGGGGAGCAAACCGGAUUAGAAACCCGUGUAGUCC